rnacentral:rRNA from 1 species
UGGGGAAUUUUGGACAAUGGGCGAAAGCCUGAUCCAGCAAUGCCGCGUGUGUGAAGAAGGCCUUCGGGUUGUAAAGCACUUUUGUCCGGAAAGAAAUCCUUGGCUCUAAUACAGUCGGGGGAUGACGGUAUCGGAAGAAUAAGCACCGGCUAACUACGUGCCAGCAGCCGCGGUAAUACGUAGGGUGCAAGCGUUAAUCGGAAUUACUGGGCGUAAAGCGUGCGCAGGCGGUUUGCUAAGACCGAUGUGAAAUCCCCGGGCUCAACCUGGGAACUGCAUUGGUGACUGGCAGGCUAGAGUAUGGCAGAGGGGGGUAGAAUUCCACGUGUAGCAGUGAAAUGCGUAGAGAUGUGGAGGAAUACCGAUGGCGAAGGCAGCCCCCUGGGCCAAUACUGACGCUCAUGCACGAAAGCGUGGGGAGCAAACAGGAUUAGAUACCCUGGUAGUCCACGCCCUAAACGAUGUCAACUAGUUGUUGGGGAUUCAUUUCCUUAGUAACGUAGCUAACGCGUGAAGUUGACCGCCUGGGGAGUACGGUCGCAAGAUUAAAACUUAAAGGAAUUG